rnacentral:rRNA from 1 species
AUGCGGACCUCGCCGCCGUCCAUGGCCUCCCCCACGCCCUCCUCCUCUCGCCCCUCCCCUUCCCUCACCAGAAAUGAGAGAAGAACCCGAGGGAGGGAGAUCCAACGCGAUCCAGCCUUGGUCUCCGCUGCCUCGGCCUCACGCCUCGCCGAAGCAGCUCUGCCAUCGACCGAAGUCCCGCAGGUCGACGUGUUCCCCCGCUCUUCUUCCUCCCUCUAUUUGUGUCUCCCUUUUUUUCUCUCAAGUCUCAAUCCCCUCUGUACUUCUCUGUGCAAGCAGGCCGCCAUGGACGCCUGA